CAAGAUCACCUCUCAACUUUCUCUUGCAGAGGCUGAAGAGAUCUAGGGCCCUAAAUCUCUCCUCACAAGGUUUUGCCUGCAGUCUCCUAACCAUGCAAGUGGCCGUCCUCUGAACACUCUUGAGGUUGUCCACAUCCCUCUUGAAGAGUGGUACCCAAAUCUGG